rnacentral:ribozyme from 14 species
UUUGAUUAAAAGUUGUCUUAUUUUACUUUUUCUCAUCUGUAGGUUUUCCAUGUGCAUCCAGUUCCAAAUCAGGCACACAAGAGCUUCAGGCCUUUAAAAACACAGAUUCAAGAAACGAAAUGCAUAUGAAAUGCACCCACAUUGUUUUUCUUUUCUUUUAUUCUUUCUUUAAAUGAG